AGUUCUUCUCAUUAUGAAAUCAAAACUUAAGGGUCAGGCAUUAAAACAGAAUUUUUUCCUAUUCAUAUCUCAGACAUUCUGAACUGAGUGAGCAAAGUUGUUGACAUCAGGGAAAAGCUUUGUUUUGUAACAGGAAUAAUGAUAACAGCUGAGGAAAGUGGGUGAUUAUAUUAAGCUUUGCCGUGUCUGUUUAUGACCAUAAGCUGAUACUUCUGAGGAUGUAAAGGGGACCAACAAGAAGAGGAAUAAAGAAAAGGAAACAAUUUCAGCAUUUCCCUGACCAAGUGAGGAGCCCUCUUCCUAGCAUUAAGGCCCUUUCUGACUGUCUCUGCAGAAUCACUUAUACUGUAAUUCCCAUUCCUUUGGGAGUCUCUAAAUAAUUCUCUCAACUUGAGCCUCCUGGGGAAGACCCAACACAUUGUUCUGGCAUAUCAGGCCCUAAGCUGCCUGUGCCGUAAUACCAGCAUCCAGGAUAGCUGACGCUGCUGUUCGACAUCAUGACAGGCAGUAGCACUGUAAAGAUGAUGAACAAAUCAUGCCAGCAUCCCACGUGAAUUCUGAUUUCAUUUCUUCAGGGAAGCAGCUUGUCUCUGCAGUCACUGCUCUAAAAUCAAUGCUUGGUCCUGCCCACAAACCCAUACCCCAGCUCUUGGCUCUGACAGUAGGAAUCUUGAAGGGCUUGAGUUCUCAAGAGUCAAAUUAAGGAUGGCCUUAAUUUAGCAGAAAGUCUGCAGAAGGAUGCCAGGGGAUUCCCACUAUACCACUCAGGUUACCGUUUUGAAAUAAAGCACCAUUGAUGACAUAGCUUUAGUAGAAGGUCAGACGGUAGGGACCCUUAACCUCUAUUCCACAUUUACUUCUCAAAUGACGCAAGAGCUUGGGAAAUAGUUAUGGGGAACAUCCCUCAGCAUUUUCCCCUCAGCAUUGGGGUUCUCAAGCUGUGUGUCCAGUUUGGAGAACUGUCCCUUCAGGGCUUCAGUGAAGAGAAGUAAAAUAUUCCAUCUAGUGAUCAAAGAAAGAAGGGCAAAAUGAGAAGUUUCCAAGAAGAGGUUUGUGGGACAAAAUGAGAGGGCAGUGGCCUGUCAGCUGGUGUCUUUUCUAGAGCAUGAUAGGACCUUGUCUUGGUGGUGCUUUUGAGUAUGCCUGUACUAGGUGAGGAAUCUGGGGCACUGUCCUUCAGAGCCAUUCGGCAGAACUCUGUUCUCACAGAACAGCUAUCGUGUUGGCGGGUUAUAAACAGUAUGACUGUCUGAAGGGAGGCCCUCUCACAUCCCCACCCUCAUGGAAGAAGUGAAACCGGGGCUUCCCUGGUGGCGCAGUGGUUGGGAGUCCGCCUGCCGAUGCAGGGGACACGGGUUCGUGCCCCGGUCCGGGAAGAUCCCACAUGCUGCGGAGCGGCGGCUGGGCCCGUGAGCCAUGGCCGCUGAGCCUGCGCGUCCAGAGCCUGUGCUCCGCAACGGGAGAGGCCACAGCUGUGAGAGGCCCGCGUACCAC
rnacentral:lncRNA from 1 species